rnacentral:RNase_P_RNA from 1 species
GAGAGUAGGCGAGGCGGUUGCAAAGAACGCAAUUGAGUGAAAGCUUGACCGUGUUUUUUGAGGAAAGUCCGGGCUUCCGAAAGACCAAACUUGCUGGCUAACGGCCAGUGCGUGCGAGCGUGAGGAUAGUGCCACAGAAAGAUACCGCCAUUCGAUUUUGGAUUUUAGAUUGCGGAUUUUAGAUUAAAUCCAAAAUCUAAAAUCUAAAAUCCAAAAUUGCUUGGUAAGGGUGCAAAGGUGCGGUAAGAGCGCACCAGCAACGUCGAGAGGCGUUGGCUCGGUAAACCCCGGUUGGAAGCAAGGCGAAGGGAGGACGGUUGGUCUUUUACCGCUUCCCGUUAAUAGAGCCGCUAGAGGCGUUCUGGUAACAGGCGUCCCAGAUAGAUAACUGCCGAUUUGUGGAGAUGUUCUUGUAGCAUCGCUACUGAUUAACAGAACCCGGCUUACUACCAACUCUCUCCU